UAAUUCGCAACUCGCAAGUCACACAGAUUAAAUAUAUACAAGACGGUGAUACUUCUUCUAAGAAGAAUAUAUCUGAAAAGAUGGCCAACAUUCAAGAAUAUGCAGCAGUGAAGGUGAUGUUUAGUAACAAUGUCCAAGCUACGUUGAGUGUUAAGCUGAUCAACGGAGAUGGAGAAGACCCUGCAGACGUUUACGGAAAUUUUCGCUUUUUGCUAAGCAGCAAAGUCAGCGUAUUGAAGUAAGGCCCGGUGAAUUCAUUCCCUUGAGUCGGUCCGAUGUCAAUGUGCCUGAAGAAGCCAAGGAAAUGGAGAUUGAAGCUUACUUGAUGGACUAUGAUUCUGUUUCUCCUGACGAUGAAAUUGCAAACGGCAAAGCCAUCUUUCUCGUUAAGGCUUCUGGUGAAAGUGAUAAGAAGACCAUUACCGGAAAGUAUGGCUCCAUUGAAGUCAAUGUACUUUGGGGUUGAUCUCAUCUGAUUUGAACUUAGGAUAUAAUAAAUGCUUUAAGGGAUUAUUCUUGUGUCGUUCAUGCUUUUCAUUAUUUUUAUAUGUUUGUUUUUGGUUCUCUUAUCCCUAGUUUCUCAUGAGCAACUCCACGGAUUCGAUCUCCAUAUGGGUUGUUCUUGAGUUUAUUGAUUUUAUUCAUUCAGAUAUUUAAUUUCUCUCUUUUAAUUA